UUUUUAGGAAGAGGAGGAGGAGGGUUCUUUUGUCAGGCUGUCCUGGAGCUCACAGAGACCUUCUGCCUCCCAAGUUACUGGGACUAAAGGUGUGUGCUACCACACUCUGUAACACCCUCUUCUGACCUCAGCAGGUACCCACACUUACACAUGCACAUAUUCACACAGACACAUACAUAGAAUUUACUAAAAAGUAAAUCUUUUUUUAAUUGCUACUAAUUAUUUGGGAAAUACAAAGCAGUAUUAGUAAUCUAAUGAAAAUUUAAGACAAAAAUAUUGAUCUUUAUAGUUUUAAUGUCAGAAUCUAAACCAAUGUGUUCUUUUGUUUUUCAAGGUUGGAAUACACACUAAAGUAUGGUUUAUUGCUGGUAUGUUCAUGCUGGUGACGGUACAAGUAUCCUUCUGGGGGAUUCUGCAACACUUGGUGCAUUUCACACAACCUGAACUUCAAAAACCUAUUAUGAGGAUUCUUUGGAUGGUCCCAAUAUACAGUUUAGAUAGUUGGUUGGCCUUAAAAUUCCCCAAAGUUGGAAUAUAUGCCGAUACCUGUAGAGACUGCUAUGAAGCUUACCAUUUAUAACUUUAUGACCUUCCUUACCAAUAAUUUAACAAAAUUCG